rnacentral:rRNA from 1 species
CUAAGUCAGGUUUCCGAGAUGCCGUGAAUAAUUGCGUAAGGCCACAGCGAGAUCUAGCUGUCAAGAUAUCGCAAUUGGACUGAACUGCCAGAUCUACGGAGGCAGCAGUGGGAUUGACAUGCGAAAGCUGAUCAGCAUGCGCGUGAGUGAUGAGCUAGGGUGUAAGCUCUUUACCCGGAUGAUAUGACAGUACGGAGAUAGCUCCGCUACUCGUGCCAGCAGCGCGUAAUACGGAGGGAGCUAGCGUGUCGGAAUUACUGGGCGUAAAGCGCGCGUAGGCGGUUUUUUAAGUCAGAGGUGAAAGCCCAGUGCUCAACACUGGAACUGCCUUUGAAACUGGAAAACUUGAAUCUUGGAGAGGUCAGUGGAAUUCCGAGUGUAGAGGUGAAAUUCGUAGAUAUUCGGAAGAACACCGGUGGCGAAGGCGGCCCCCUGGACAAAGACUGACGCUCAGGUGCGAAAGCGUGGGGAGCAAACAGGAUUAGAUACCCUGGUAGUCCACGCCGUAAACGAUGUCGACUUGGAGGUUGUUCCCUUGAGGAGUGGCUUCCGGAGCUAACGCGUUAAGUCGACCGCCUGGGGAGUACGGCCGCAAGGUUAAAACUCAAAUGAAUUGACGGGGGCCCGCACAAGCGGUGGAGCAUGUGGUUUAAUUCGAUGCAACGCGAAGAACCUUACCUACUCUUGACAUCCACGGAAUUCGGCAGAGAUGCCUUAGUGCCUUCGGGAACCGUGAGACAGGUGCUGCAUGGCUGUCGUCAGCUCGUGUUGUGAAAUGUUGGGUUAAGUCCCGCAACGAGCGCAACCCUUAUCCUUUGUUGCCAGCGAUUCGGUCGGGAACUCAAAGGAGACUGCCGGUGAUAAACCGGAGGAAGGUGGGGAUGACGUCAAGUCAUCAUGGCCCUUACGAGUAGGGCUACACACGUGCUACAAUGGCGCAUACAAAGAGAAGCGACCUCGCGAGAGCAAGCGGACCUCACAAAGUGCGUCGUAGUCCGGAUCGGAGUCUGCAACUCGAGUGCAUGAAGUUGGAAUUGCUAGUAAUCGCAGAUCAGCACGCUGCGGUGAAUACGUUCCCGGGCCUUGUACACACCGCCCGUCACACCAUGGGAGUUGGUUCUACCCGAAGCCGGUGCGCUAACCGCAAGGAAGCAGCCGACCACGGUAGUCAGCACGAU